rnacentral:rRNA from 1 species
UAAACGACUCUCGACAACGGAUAUCUCGGCUCACGCAUCGAUGAAGAACGUAGCAAAAUGCGAUACUUGGUGUGAAUUGCAGAAUCCCGUGAACCAUCGAGUUUUUGAACGCAAGUUGCGCCCGAAGCCAUCCGGCCGAGGGCACGUCUGCCUGGGCGUCACGC